UACGUAGGGACCAAGCGUUGUUCGGAUUUACUGGGCGUAACGGGCGCGUAGGCGGCGUGACAAGUCAAUUGUGAAAUCUCCGGGCUUAACUCGGAACGGUCAAUUGAUACUGUUGUGCUAGAGUACAGAAGGGGCAAUCGGAAUUCUUGGUGUAGCGGUGAAAUGCGUAGAUAUCGAGAGGAACACCAAUGGCGAAGGCAGCUAUCUGGAGCGUAACUGACACUCAUGAGCGAAAGUGCGGGGAGCAAACAGG
rnacentral:rRNA from 1 species